rnacentral:rRNA from 1 species
UACGUAGGUCCCGAGCGUUGUCCGGAUUUAUUGGGCGUAAAGGGAGCGUAGACGGCACUGCAAGUCUGGAGUGAAAGCCCGAGGCCCAACCACGGGACUGCUCUGGAAACUGCGGGGCUGGAAUGCAGGAGAGGUAAGCGGAAUUCCUAGUGUAGCGGUGAAAUGCGUAGAUAUUAGGAGGAACACCAGUGGCGAAGGCGGCUUACUGGACUGUAACUGACGUUGAGGCUCGAAGGCGUGGGGAGCAAACAGG